rfam:Erinaceus europaeus unplaced genomic scaffold scaffold00781, whole genome shotgun sequence
UGAUGUAAGGGCUAUCUGGCUGUGACAUCUGUCACCCCACUGAUUACCAGAGUUUAUUUGGCUGAUCUGGCUGACUAAGGAGGGUGUUUCCUUCCUCCCUUACUGCUCCAUGCACAUCCCUCCCAAAGCUGCACUCUAGGUCGAAGAGGAAAACCUUCCCCAAAUAGAGACCAAACUGGUCUUCAGUAGGUCAAGGUAGGUCGAGGGUAUAGAGUAGUUGUGCUCCCCUGCUGGGACCUCCAAACAAGAUUUCAUGUAGACAAAGACAGAAUGAUACAGAGAGAAAAAGAGAGACACCAUAGCACCAAAACCUCCCUCAGUGCAGUUGUACUCCUAGCCGGU